rnacentral:rRNA from 1 species
ACCGUUGCAUCAUGUCGCCCAAUAUGAUGCUUGCUCGUACCAGGCCCCUGCAAUUUCAACAGGGGCCUUUUUUUAUCCCUGAGCAGUAUAAAAAACGAACGAUAACCGUGAUCUGUUGAGCGGGUGACAGUGCGCAUAGCGUUGUGCUAAAAAUAUUUUUUAUAUUCACAUUGAUUAUGGGGUAGUGACUCCAACUUACUGAUAGUGUUUUAUGUUCAGAUAAUGCCCGAUGACCUUGUCAUGCAGCUCCACCGAUUUUGAGAACGACAGCGACUUCCGUCCCAGCCUUGCCAGAUGUUGUCUCAGAUUCAGAUUAUGUCGCUCAAUGCGCUGAGUGUAACGCUUGCUGAUAACGUGCAGCUUUCCCUUCAGGCGUGAUUCAUACAGCGGCCAGCCAUCCGUCAUCCAUACCACGACCUCAAAGGCCGACAGCAGGCUCAGAAGACGCUCCAGUGUGGCCAGAGUGCGUUCACCGAAAACGUGCGCCACAACUGUCCUCCGUA